rnacentral:misc_RNA from 1 species
CCGUACCUCUCCUUUCCUGGGGUAACAGCCGGGAGAAGGUUGAGGGGUAAAAUUAGUCGGACCUGUACUCCAAUCUGUUGCCUUAACUGGAACAGUGGCGAGAGGGGUGACUGUACCCUUGUUUUUUCUGAAUAAUUGUUUCCUUGGUGGGCUUGCCUGCCAAUAAGGACCCUAAUAAACUCUUUGCAAUCUUGUAUUUAUAUCAGACAAAAUUCUAAAUAUUUA